CGUAAGCGCGCGCAGGCGGUUUCUUAAGUCUGAUGUGAAAGCCCCCGGCUCAACCGGGGAGGGUCAUUGGAAACUGGGGAACUUGAGUGCAGAAGAGGAGAGUGGAAUUCCACGUGUAGCGGUGAAAUGCGUAGAGAUGUGGAGGAACACCAGUGGCGAAGGCGACUCUCUGGUCUGUAACUGACGCUGAGGCGCGAAAGCGUGGGGAGCGAACAGGAUUAGAUACCCUGGUAGUCCACGCCGUAAACGAUGAGUGCUAAGUGUUAGAGGGUUUCCGCCCUUUAGUGCUGCAGCAAACGCAUUAAGCACUCCGCCUGGGGAGUACGGUCGCAAGACUGAAACUCAAAGGAAUUGACGGGGGCCCGCACAAGCGGUGGAGCAUGUGGUUUAAUUCGAAGCAACGCGAAGAACCUUACCAGGUCUUGACAUCCUCUGACAACCCUAGAGAUAGGGCUUCCCCUUCGGGGGCAGAGUGACAGGUGGUGCAUGGUUGUCGUCAGCUCGUGUCGUGAGAUGUUGGGUUAAGUCCCGCAACGAGCGCAACCCUUGAUCUUAGUUGCCAGCAUUCAGUUGGGCACUCUAAGGUGACUGCCGGUGACAAACCGGAGGAAGGUGGGGAUGACGUCAAAUCAUCAUGCCCCUUAUGACCUGGGCUACACACGUGCUACAAUGGGCAGAACAAAGGGCAGCGAAGCCGCGAGGCUAAGCCAAUCCCACAAAUCUGUUCUCAGUUCGGAUCGCAGUCUGCAACUCGACUGCGUGAAGCUGGAAUCGCUAGUAAUCGCGGAUCACAUG
rnacentral:rRNA from 1 species